GGAGACGUGGCCGAGCGGUCGAAGGCGGGCGCUUGGAGAGCGUCUGAGCGUAACAGCUCCUAGAGUUCGAAUCUCUACGUCUCCGCCA
rnacentral:tRNA from 1 species